UAACGGCCGCGGUACCCUAACCGUGCGAAGGUAGCAUAAUCACUUGUUCUUUAAAUAGGGACUAGUAUCAACGGCAUCACGAGGGUUACACUGUCUCCUUUCUCCAAUCAGUGAAACUGAUCUCCCCGUGAAGAAGCGAGGAUAUAACUAUUAGACGAGAAGACCCCAUGGAGCUUUAAGCUCAACAACAAUUUUUAUGAAAAUAAUUCCUCAUAGUACACAAACCCUGUUUGUUAGCUUUAGGUUGGGGUGACCGCGGAGUAUAAUUUAACCUCCACGACGAAAAGGCAUAAAACCCUUAUCCAAGAGCCACUGCUCUAAGAAUCACUAAAUUGACGUAUAAUGAUCCGAUUUUCGAUCAACGGACUAAGUUACCCUGGGGAUAACAGCGCAAUCCAUUUUUAGAGCCCCUAUCGACAAA
rnacentral:rRNA from 1 species